rnacentral:rRNA from 1 species
AACGAACGCUGGCGGCAGGCUUAACACAUGCAAGUCGAACGCCCCGCAAGGGGAGUGGCAGACGGGUGAGUAACGCGUGGGAAUCUACCUAGUUCUACGGAACAACACAGGGAAAUUUGUGCUAAUACCGUAUACGCCCUACGGGGGAAAGAUUUAUCGGAAUUAGAUGAGCCCGCGUAAGAUUAGCUAGUUGGUGGGGUAAUGGCCUACCAAGGCGACGAUCUUUAGCUGGUCUGAGAGGAUGAUCAGCCACACUGGGACUGAGACACGGCCCAGACUCCUACGGGAGGCAGCAGUGGGGAAUAUUGGACAAUGGGCGAAAGCCUGAUCCAGCCAUGCCGCGUGAGUGAUGAAGGCCCUAGGGUUGUAAAGCUCUUUCACCGGUGAAGAUAAUGACGGUAACCGGAGAAGAAGCCCCGGCUAACUUCGUGCCAGCAGCCGCAGUAAUAC